UACGGGGGGGGCAAGCGUUGUUCGGAAUUACUGGGCGUAAAGGGUUUGUAGGUGGCCCGCUAAGUCACACGUGAAAUCCCUCAGCUUAACUGGGGAACUGCGUCUGAGACUGGAUGGCUUGAGUGCAGGAGAGGAACGCGGAAUUCCAGGUGUAGCGGUGAAAUGCGUAGAUAUCUGGAGGAACACCGGUGGCGAAGGCGGCGUUCUGGACUGCAACUGACACUGAGGAACGAAAGCCAGGGGAGCAAACGGG
rnacentral:rRNA from 1 species